UAUGUGAUCGUCUCUUGCAUAUCAAUAAGCGGAGGAAAAGAAACUAACAAGGAUUCCCCUAGUAACGGCGAGUGAAGCGGGAAGAGCUCAAAUUUGAAAUCUUAAAGGGUUUCCCUUUACGAAUUGUAGUUUAAAGAAGUGUUUUCUGUUGAGGUUUUGGUAAAAGUUCUUUGGAAUAGGACAUCAUAGAGGGUGAGAAUCCCGUAUUUGACCUUUACUUUCAACUUUGUGAUACACUUUCAAAGAGUCGGAUUGUUUGGGAAUGCAGUCCAAAAUGGGUGGUAAAUUUCAUCUAAAGCUAAAUAUUGGCGAGAGACCGAUAGCGAACAAGUACCGUGAGGGAAAGAUGAAAAGAACUUUGAAAAGAGAGUUAAACAGUACGUGAAAUUGUCAAAAGGGAAGCGUUUGACACCAGUGUUGUUUUUCUGAAAAUCAAUUAAAGAACUGUUUAUGCUAAGCUGUUUAGACUUUAUCAGCUAACUGUUUAGUUUUGAGCUUUUCUUUAAUGCACUUUUCAGUUAACAAGUCAACAUCAAUUUCUUUUGCUGUAAAAAAGCUUGAGGAAGGUGGCUUGAGAUUCGUCUUAAGUGUUUAUAGCCUCUUGCCUAUGCAGUCGGAGAGAUUGAGGUCUGCAGCGUAGAUCCUUCGGGGCUAAAUGCAUUUGUGCUAAGUUAUAACAUUUUAUAGACAACUUGUUGACUAUGAUUUGUCUUGUAGCUUACUCGCUUAUGUUAUUUUACCUACGCUUAGGAUGUUGAGUAGCGACAUACGCAC
rnacentral:rRNA from 1 species